rnacentral:lncRNA from 1 species
CUAUUGGCUUCUAUUGGGCCCCUACUGUGUCCUAUUGGGUCCCAACAUGAUCAACACGACGUCUAUAGGGUCCUCCCAUCCCCUAUGGCUUCUAUUGGGUCUCUACUGGCUUCUAUUGGGCCCCAACAUGAUCAUCUCGACAUCUAUAGGGUCCUCCCAUCCCCUGUGCCUUCUAUUGGGCCCCUAUUGGUUCCUAUUGGGUCCCUACUGGGUUCUAUCGGUCUCCUUUUAGGUCCUCCCAACCCUAUAGCCUCUAUGGGGUUCCUAUUGGCUUCUAUUGACUCCUAUUGGGCCCCAGUGUGAUCAACUCAACGUCUAUUGGGUCCUCUCAUCCCCUAUUGGCUUCUAUUGGGGUCCUCCCAUCCCUAUUGGGGUCCUCCCAUCCCCUAUGGCUUCUAUAGGGCCCCUUAUUGGGUUCUAUUGGGUCCCUAAUGGCUUCUAUGGGGCUCCUUUUGGGUCCUCCCAACCCUAUAGCCUCUAUGGGGUUCCUAUUGGCUUCUAUUGACUCCUAUUGGGCCCCAACGUGAUCAACUCGACGUCUAUAGGGUCCUCCCAUCCCCUAUUGGCUUCUAUUGGGGUCCUCCCAUCCCUAUUGGGGUCCUCCCAUCCCUAUGGCUCCUAUUGGUUCUCAACAUAAUCAACUUGACGUCUAUUGGGUCCUCCCAACCCUAUAGCCUCUAUUGGGCCCUUAUUGGCUUCUAUUGUGUCCUCCCAUCCCCUAUUGGCUUCUAUUGGGGUCCUCCCAUCCCCUAUUGGCUUCUAUUGGGGUCCUCCCAUCCCUAUUGGGGUCCUCCCAUCCCUAUGGCUCCUAUUGGUUCUCAACAUAAUCAACUUGACGUCUAUUGGGUCCUCCCAACCCUAUAGCCUCUAUUGGGCCCUUAUUGGCUUCUAUUGUGUCCUCCCAUCCCCUAUUGGCUUCUAUUGGGGUGCUCCCAUCCCCUAUUGGCCUCUAUUGGGCCCCUAUUGGUUCCUAUUGGGCCCCUAUUGGUUCCUAUUGGACCUCUACUGGGUUCUAUUGGGCUCCUAUUGGCUCCUCCCAUCCCCUAUUGGCUUGUAUUGGCUCCUAUUGGAUCCUCCCAUCCCCUAUUGGCUUCUAUUGGCUCCUAUUGGGUCCUCCCAUCCCCUAUUAGCUUCUAUUGGCUCCUAUUGGGUCCUCC